rnacentral:lncRNA from 1 species
GAUAGUUGAUUGUUUCUUUGAAGCAUGAGCUUCGCCAACUCUAGAGCUUGUGUUAGAUGUUCCAUUAUAGGUGAAACCACCAUCACUAGUGCAACUUUCUCCAUUGGUGAGAAAGAAUUGGAAACAGAUUCAAGAAAGGAAGAGCCUGAAAGAAAUGUAACUCUUGUAGGCCCUCAAAUAUCGAAAACAAGUUGCAACGCUGUUGUGAGCAAACGAGGAAGACGAACAACUUCCCGAGGCCAGAAAUGAAGUAACUAAAGGACUAG